rnacentral:rRNA from 1 species
UACCAGCACCCCGAGUGGUCGGGACGUUUAUUGGGCCUAAAGCAUCCGUAGCCGGUUCUACAAGUCUUCCGUUAAAUCCACCUGCUUAACAGAUGGGCUGCGGAAGAUACUAUAGAGCUAGGAGGCGGGAGAGGCAAGCGGUACUCAUGGGUAGGGGUAAAAUCCGUUGAUCCAUUGAAGACCACCAGUGGCGAAGGCGGCUUGCCAGAAUGCGCUCGACGGUGAGGGAUGAAAGCUGGGGGAGCAA